rnacentral:rRNA from 1 species
CAUGCAGUCGACGGAAGGCCCGCUUGCGGGUACUCGAGUGGCGAACGGGUGAGUAACACGUGGGUAACCUGCCCCCAUCUCUGGGAUAACCGUUGGAAACGGCGGCUAAUACCGGAUACGACCACCUUCCGCAUGGUUGGUGGUGGAAAGUUUUUGCGGUUGGGGAGGGGCCCGCGGCCUAUCAGCUUGUUGGUGCGGUAGUGGCGCACCAAGGCUUUGACGGGUAGCCGGCCUGAGAGGGCGGUCGGUCACAUUGGGACUGAGAUACGGCCCAGACUCCUACGGGAGGCAGCAGUGGGGAAUUUUGCACAAUGGGCGCAAGCCUGAUGCAGCGACGCCGCGUGAGGGAUGACGGCUUUCGGGUUGUAAACCUCUUUUAUCCACCACGAAGGCCAGGUAUUCGCCUGGUUGACGGUAGUGGUUGAAUAAGCGCCGGCUAACUACGUGCCAGCAGCCGCGGUAAGACGUAGGGCGCGAGCGUUGUCCGGAUUUAUUGGGCGUAAAGGGCUCGUAGGCGGUUGAUUGCGUCCGCCGUGAAAGGCCUCGGCUUAACCGGGGUUUUGCGGUGGAUACGGGUCGACUUGAGGCAAUUAGGGGAGAUCGGAAUUCUACGUGUAGCGGUGAAAUGCGCAGAUAUGUGGAGGAACACCGGUGGCGAAAGCGGAUCUCUGGGAUUGUUCUGACGCUGAGGAGCGAAAGCGUGGGGAGCGAACAGGAUUAGAUACCCUGGUAGUCCAUGCUGUAACGGUGGGCGCUAGGUGUGGGGUCACGUUGGUUGAUUCUGUGCCGUAGCUAACGCAUUAAGCGCCCCGCCUGGGGAGUACGCGCAGCUAAACUCAAAGGAAUGACGGGGCCGCACAGCGCGAGCAUGCGAUAUCGAUGCACGCGAGACUACUAGUUUGAMUCACC